rnacentral:rRNA from 1 species
CCUACGGGAGGCAGCAGUGAGGAAUCUUGGUCAAUGGCCGUAAGGCUGAACCAGCCAAGUCGCGUGAAGGAAGAAGGAUCUAUGGUUUGUAAACUUCUUUUAUAGGGGAAUAAAGGUAUCCAAGUGUGGAUAUUUGCAUGUACCCUAUGAAUAAGCAUCGGCUAACUCCGUGCCAGCAGCCGCGGUAAUACGGAGGAUGCGAGCGUUAUCCGGAUUUAUUGGGUUUAAAGGGUGCGUAGGUUGUUUUUUAAGUCAGCGGUGAAAGUUUGUGGCUCAACCAUAAAAUUGCCGUUGAAACUGGAAGACUUGAGUGUGUUUGAGGUAGGCGGAAUGCGUGGUGUAGCGGUGAAAUGCAUAGAUAUCACGCAGAACUCCGAUUGCGAAGGCAGCUUACUAAGCCAUAACUGACACUGAAGCACGAAAGCGUGGGGAUCGAACAGGAUUAGAUACCCUUGUAGUC